rnacentral:lncRNA from 1 species
GUUCUAUGAUAAUUUUUGUAUUCUUGUCUUUCAUUUUUCAUUUUUGCUAGUGUGCUUUGUCCAUAUAUAUGCCUUUUUGUGUUUCUUUGAUACAUAUGACGUGAUUCUGUACUUAUACAUUCCGUUAUUGUGCUAUUGUAAUUUUUUUGUAUUCUUGUUUUUCAUUUUUGCUAAUAUGCUUUGUCUAUAUGCAAUUUUGUGUUUCUUUGAUACAUGUGAUGUGGCUCUAUACUUAUACAUCCCGUCAUUGUGAUUUUAUUGUGUUAUGAUAUUUUUUUUUAUUCUUGUCUUUAAUUUUUUCUUAUGCACUUUGUAUAUAUGCUUUUUUGUGCUUUUUUGUUACAUAUUUGUUUGUUUUUAUAGUAAUUAAGAUUAAAAUACAUUGUUGACCGCAGCUGUUACCCAAUUUUUUUUUGCUUAGUAUAUGUCUUUUUUUUUUUAUUGUUGAUCGUUGUAUAUAUAUUAAUUGAAUUAAAUGCGACUGUCAUAAUAGUGAAUGCUUAAACUAGCUUUAAAACCAGGUUUUAUCCACCAUUUUCUACGUAAGGAGAUUUUAUGUCUGUACCAAGUCAGGAAUGUGACAGUUGUUAUCCAUUCGUUUGAUGUGUUUGAGCUUUUGAUUUUGACAUUUGAUUAGGGACUUACCGUUUCGAAUUUUCCUCAGAGUUCAGUAUUUUUGUGAUUUCUCUUUUUUGAUAGUCAUUGAUAGUUAUGAUAGUAUGUUUUAACACAUUCUAAGCAAAUAGAACGCAAAACUGGUCACAUCACAUCACGUAUUAUUAUUAAAAUAAGAAGGGGAAAAUAUGAGGCAGGAACCCAAUACCUGAUAAAGAGGUGAUUUUCGUUGCAGACUUAAAACACCAAUUAAUUUAUCAAUUUAAAAUGGAGAUUUCCAGUACAGACCGGUAUUUAAAUUCCCCAACUCAACCCAACCAAGACCACCUCCUCUAAAUAUACGAUGUCGUCCAAUCAGAU